GCGUAGACGGCCCACCUGGGCCUUGUUAUCUAAUCACCUGUCGCUCUGUUAUAAACAGCAGCCAGGAGGAGAGAUGGGGUUGGAGCUAGAGCCAGAGCGAGAACGAAAGAGAAAAAAACCAUUGCUGGAAAGCAACUGAGAGACUUAUUGAGAAAUUAAACACUAUUGUAACCCUGAAACAGGCUCACAUGUCGGUGCUUGGUGGUCUGAAGAACCCCCAGGAGGGCAAGCCCCACACUAACCAAUAAUAAAUAAAUAACGUCUUACCAUUAACGCAAUUUCUUGAACAGGUGUGGUAGAAAACGGAUGGUUGGAUUAAAAAUGCAUGAAAAUGUUUUAUAUUUUGAACGUCAUUUUAACACUGUAAUUACAAGUGGAAUUAUCCAUUACUUAUUGUGUUAAGUAUUGUCAGCUAAGAUUUAUCCGAGAACCAGAUGCAGUCAUCAAAAGAGCCACAUCUGGCUCCCGAGCCAUAGGUUCCCUACCCCUGCUCUAUAGUCUCAUGUUACAUAGUCAGAACAGUCAGAAGACCCCGCCCACGCGCCGCCGCAGCUGGCGGAAAUCUUCAAUCAACGCACCUGGCAGUGAUUACAGACGACAGGAUAAAGAGCCUCGCCGCUGACUUCUUCUGUCCCCAAUUGUCUCCCGGGCCUCCCCUGAUCCUCAGACACCCUGCUUGGACUUUGGAGGUCUCUCUCCUGCCCCAGGACCCCGCUUGGACCCCGGACUUCCUUGCCUUGUCCCUCUUGACUUGGACGCAUGCUAGGUCUGAACAACCACUGAGGAGCCGCCAUCUUGGCGACAUGGCAGGAGGGGCGGGACUUACCAGUACCGUCCAGAAGGUGAUAUUGUGCUUAUUUACAGUAAUGUUGUAGUUAUUUACAGUAAUAUAGUAGUUAUUUACAGUAAUAUUGCAGUUAUCUACAGUAAUAUUGCAGUUAUUUACAUUAUUAUUGUAGUUACAGAAAUAUUGCAGUUAUUUACGGAAAUAUUGUAG